rnacentral:tRNA from 1 species
GGAUAUAGCUCUCUUGGUAAAGUGCUUGCCUUGCAUGCACGAGGCCCUGGGUUCAAUUCCCAGCACCA